rnacentral:lncRNA from 1 species
UUGGUGAGCCCGUAAAACCAACAAAGGUUUUUGGUGAACCCAGAAAACCAAAGUGUAAAGGUUCGUUGGUGAGCCCGUAAAACCAACAUAGGUUCGUUGGUGAGCCCGUAAAACCAACAAAGGUUUUUGGUGAACCCGGAAAACCAAAGUGUAUAGGUUCGUUGGUGAGCCCGUAAAACCAACAAAGGUUUUUGGAUUGUGAGCCCGAAAAACAAUCCAACUGUAAUCCGCGGGAUUAUAGUGAAUUCCCAAGGAGACGCUUGGGGAGUGGACGUAGGUGCUAAGGAGAGCACCGAACCACUAUAUAUUGUUGUGUUUGUGUUGUGUUUGUGCUUACGUUUAUUCUUGCAUCAUCUUCUAUCUUUGCACUAGUUUAAAUCAUUCAAAUAGUUUAAGGAAGCAUCCACCGCACUUAAUUAAGAAAACGUUUAAAGCACCAAAAUUUAGAAGAAACCAAUUCACCCCCCCCCCUCUUGGCUUGUCACCUUGGGCAAC